AAAAACAUUUCCUCCUAGUUUAGGAGGUAAGGCCUGCUCACUGAAUAUUUAAAGAGCCGCAGUAUCCUAACUGUGCUAAGGUAGCAUAAUCAUUUGUCUUUUAAUUGGAGACUGGUAUGAAUGGCUAAACGAGAAAUUAACUUUUUUUGUUAUAUAAAUUGAACUUAAUUUUUCAGUGAAAAAGCUGAAAUUUUUCAGAAAGACGAGAAGACCCUAUAGAGUUUUAUGUCUCUAAAUAUAUUAUCUAAUUUGAUUUUUAUAGAUUUCAUAUUAAAGGACAUUUUGUUGGGGCGACAUUAAGAUAUAAAAAACUCUUUAUUUUCAAAAUUUUUAUAAAAAGUUUGCUUGAUCCUCUAAAAGAGAUCAAAAGAAAAAAUUACCUUAGGGAUAACAGCGUAAUCUUUUUUGAGAGUUCUAAUCGACAAAAAGGUUUGCGACCUCGAUGUUGGACUAAAAUUUAGGCAGGGUGCAGCAGUUCUGCUUUUAGGUCUGUUCGACCUAUAAUAUUUUACGUGAUCUG
rnacentral:rRNA from 1 species